rnacentral:rRNA from 1 species
AUACGGAGGAUCCGAGCGUUAUCCGGAUUUAUUGGGCUUAAAGGGUGCGCAGGCGGCCAUUUAAGUCAGCGGUUAAAUCGUGGGGCUCAACCCCAUUCUGCCGUUGAUACUGGGUGGCUUGAUUGCGGGCGAGGUUGGCGGAAUUCGUUGUGUUGCGGUGAAAUGCAUAGAUAUGACGAAGAACACCGAUUGCGUAGGCAGCUGACCAGACCGCAAAUGACGCUCAUGCACGAAAGUGCGGGGAUCGAACAGGAUUAGAUACCCUGGUAGUCCGCACAGUAAACGAUGAAUACUUGUUUUCGGCGAUAUAAUGUCGGAGGCAAAGCGAAAGCGAUAAGUAUUCCACCUGGGGAGUACGCCGGCAACGGUGAAACUCAAAUGAAUUGACGGGG